rnacentral:rRNA from 1 species
UCGUCACACUAUCAUUAACUGAAUCCAUAGGUUAAUGAGGCGAACCGGGGGAACUGAAACAUCUAAGUACCCCGAGGAAAAGAAAUCAACCGAGAUUCCCCCAGUAGCGGCGAGCGAACGGGGAGGAGCCCAGAGCCUGAAUCAGCAUGUGUGUUAGUGGAAGCGUCUGGAAAGGCGCGCGAUACAGGGUGACAGCCCCGUACACAAAAGCGCAUGUGCUGUGAGCUCGAUGAGUAGGGCGGGACACGUGGUAUCCUGUCUGAAUAUGGGGGGACCAUCCUCCAAGGCUAAAUACUCCUGACUGACCGAUAGUGAACCAGUACCGUGAGGGAAAGGCGAAAAGAACCCCGGCGAGGGGAGUGAAAAAGAACCUGAAACCGUGUACGUACAAGCAGUGGGAGCACCCUUUGGGUGUGACUGCGUACCUUUUGUAUAAUGGGUCAGCGACUUAUAUUCUGUAGCAAGGUUAACCGAAUAGGGGAGCCGGAGGGAAACCGAGUCUUAAUUGGGCGUUAAGUUGCAGGGUAUAGACCCGAAACCCGGUGAUCUAGCCAUGGGCAGGUUGAAGGUUGGGUAACACUAACUGGAGGACCGAACCGACUAAUGUUGAAAAAUUAGCGGAUGACCUGUGGCUGGGGGUGAAAGGCCAAUCAAACCGGGAGAUAGCUGGUUCUCCCCGAAAGCUAUUUAGGUAGCGCCUCGUGAAUUCAUCUCCGGGGGUAGAGCACUGUUUCGGCUAGGGGGCCAUCCCGGCUUACCAACCCGAUGCAAACUGCGAAUACCGGAGAAUGUUAUCACGGGAGACACACGGCGGGUGCUAACGUCCGUCGUGAAGAGGGAAACAACCCAGACCGCCAGCUAAGGUCCCAAAGUCAUGGUUAAGUGGGAAACGAUGUGGGAAGGCCCAGACAGCCAGGAUGUUGGCUUAGAAGCAGCCAUCAUUUAAAGAAAGCGUAAUAGCUCACUGGUCGAGUCGGCCUGCGCGGAAGAUGUAACGGGGCUAAACCAUGCACCGAAGCUGCGGCAGCGACGCUUAUGCGUUGUUGGGUAGGGGAGCGUUCUGUAAGCCUGCGAAGGUGGCCUGUGAGGGUUGCUGGAGGUAUCAGAAGUGCGAAUGCUGACAUAAGUAACGAUAAAGCGGGUGAAAAGCCCGCUCGCCGGAAGACCAAGGGUUCCUGUCCAACGUUAAUCGGGGCAGGGUGAGUCGACCCCUAAGGCGAGGCCGAAAGGCGUAGUCGAUGGGAAACGGGUUAAUAUUCCCGUACUUGGUGUUACUGCGAAGGGGGGACGGAGAAGGCUAUGUUGGCCGGGCGACGGUUGUCCCGGUUUAAGCGUGUAGGCUGGUUUUCCAGGCAAAUCCGGAAAAUCAAGGCUGAGGCGUGAUGACGAGGCACUACGGUGCUGAAGCAACAAAUGCCCUGCUUCCAGGAAAAGCCUCUAAGCAUCAGGUAACAUCAAAUCGUACCCCAAACCGACACAGGUGGUCAGGUAGAGAAUACCAAGGCGCUUGAGAGAACUCGGGUGAAGGAACUAGGCAAAAUGGUGCCGUAACUUCGGGAGAAGGCACGCUGACACGUAGGUGAAGUGAUUUACUCACGGAGCUGAAGUCAGUCGAAGAUACCAGCUGGCUGCAACUGUUUAUUAAAAACACAGCACUGUGCAAACACGAAAGUGGACGUAUACGGUGUGACGCCUGCCCGGUGCCGGAAGGUUAAUUGAUGGGGUCAGCGCAAGCGAAGCUCCUGAUCGAAGCCCCGGUAAACGGCGGCCGUAACUAUAACGGUCCUAAGGUAGCGAAAUUCCUUGUCGGGUAAGUUCCGACCUGCACGAAUGGCGUAAUGAUGGCCAGGCUGUCUCCACCCGAGACUCAGUGAAAUUGAACUCGCUGUGAAGAUGCAGUGUACCCGCGGCAAGACGGAAAGACCCCGUGAACCUUUACUAUAGCUUGACACUGAACAUUGAGCCUUGAUGUGUAGGAUAGGUGGGAGGCUUUGAAGUGUGGACGCCAGUCUGCAUGGAGCCGACCUUGAAAUACCACCCUUUAAUGUUUGAUGUUCUAACGUGGACCCGUUACCCGGGUUGCGGACAGUGUCUGGUGGGUAGUUUGACUGGGGCGGUCUCCUCCUAAAGAGUAACGGAGGAGCACGAAGGUUGGCUAAUCCUGGUCGGACAUCAGGAGGUUAGUGCAAUGGCAUAAGCCAGCUUGACUGCGAGCGUGACGGCGCGAGCAGGUGCGAAAGCAGGUCAUAGUGAUCCGGUGGUUCUGAAUGGAAGGGCCAUCGCUCAACGGAUAAAAGGUACUCCGGGGAUAACAGGCUGAUACCGCCCAAGAGUUCAUAUCGACGGCGGUGUUUGGCACCUCGAUGUCGGCUCAUCACAUCCUGGGGCUGAAGUAGGUCCCAAGGGUAUGGCUGUUCGCCAUUUAAAGUGGUACGCGAGCUGGGUUUAGAACGUCGUGAGACAGUUCGGUCCCUAUCUGCCGUGGGCGCUGGAGAACUGAGGGGGGCUGCUCCUAGUACGAGAGGACCGGAGUGGACGCAUCACUGGUGUUCGGGUUGUCAUGCCAAUGGCACUGCCCGGUAGCUAAAUGCGGAAGAGAUAAGUGCUGAAAGCAUCUAAGCACGAAACUUGCCCCGAG